AGUGAACGCUGGCGGUAGGCCUAACACAUGCAAGUCGAACGGCAGCACAGUAAGAGCUUGCUCUUACGGGUGGCGAGUGGCGGACGGGUGAGGAAUACAUCGGAAUCUACUUUUUCGUGGGGGAUAACGUAGGGAAACUUACGCUAAUACCGCAUACGACCUACGGGUGAAAGCAGGGGAUCUUCGGACCUUGCGCGAUUGAAUGAGCCGAUGUCGGAUUAGCUCGUUGGCGGGGUAAAGGCCCACCAAGGCGACGAUCCGUAGCUGGUCUGAUAGGAUGAGCAGCCAAACUAGAACUGAGACACGGGCCAGACUCCUACGGGAGGCAGCAGUGGGGAAUAUUGGACAAUGGGCGCAAGCCUGAUCCAGCCAUACCGCGUGGGUGAAGAAGGCCUUCGGGUUGUAAAGCCCUUUUGUUGGGAAAGAAAAGCAGCAGGUUAAUACCCCGCUGUUCUGACGGUACCCAAAGGAUAAGCACCGGCUAACUUCGUG
rnacentral:rRNA from 1 species